rnacentral:lncRNA from 1 species
UGAAAAAUUAUAAAGCCAUUGGGCCCUAUAUGGAGGCAGCUAGGCCCAUAAACUAAGGGUACCUUAGCCUUAGAAGGGGGCUUUUUCAGAAAUCAAAUUUUUCAUAAGCCAAUUUUCCUUUCUCUCUCUAGAAACCCUUUUUCCCUAAAUUCUCUCUGCCUUCUCUCUAGAUUUCAAGCUAAUUGAACCGUUCAAUCUUGGAUUUGAAGGUGCUCAAGCGUUCACCACACCGAAAGCUUCCUUUUGAUCCGAUUAUAUUUUCGAUUGGAUCAGUAAGUAAUUUUCUCCUCUUCUCUGCUGUUUCGCAACUUAGGGAAUGCGUUUUUCGGGCUGUAGACAACUAGGAGCGUUCUUCUUUUUAUUCCUGUUUAAAGCUUAGCUCUAAGAGCUUAUUCCUCCACCAUUUCGGUGAUAUAUAGGUACUGUAAAUUCCUGUGCUGCAUAAAGUUGUUGUGUGAGAGCGUCUCUUGUGAACUGUACUGUGAGAAACCAAGGUAAGGGGAGCUAGUUAUAUUUCUUUGAAUUAUUUAUAUAUUCUGUAUGUAUGGUGAAUUUUAUUUUGGUGUGUUGUUUUGGAAAAUGAUGAAAAAUUAGUAUGCUUAAUCUAUGAUGGCUUGUCAAGUAGUGAUUUUAUUGAAUUAAAUGGUUGUAGAUUGGACUGUUAUGAGUUGCUUGGGAGUAGAAAAUUCUAUUCNAGUACUGUUAAAAGGGGNAAUCAAUUUCUGGAGUAGUGCUUUAUGGAGUAGUUCAUGGUGGUGUUGAUUGGGUUUCAUUAAGUAUGGGAAAGUAAAAAUUUUAGACUGUGUAAAUGGUGCAAGUUUUAAGAAAGAAGUAGAAAAUAAAAGAAAAAAAAAAUGGGAGAAGGUGGGCCGUGAGAGGAGGGGAGAUUUAUGUUUCUGGAGUUGAAAAGAAGAGGAGGAAUUUCCAGGGAGUUAGGUUUUAGAAAAUUUAAUAUUUGGAAGGCUUUAAUGGAUUAGAUGUAGACAAAAAUGUAAUUAAGUUAAUAUAAUAUAUUAUGUAAUAUAUAUAAGAAAGAGAGAUUUUCGAAUCUUAAUAUUAAUAUAAUAUAUAUAGAUAAUAAGAUAGGAC